rnacentral:rRNA from 1 species
UACGAAGGGGGCUAGCGUUGCUCGGAAUCACUGGGCGUAAAGCGCACGUAGGCGGAUUGUUAAGUCAGAGGUGAAAUCCUGGAGCUCAACUCCAGAACUGCCUUUGAUACUGAGAGGCUUGAGUCCGGGAGAGGUGAGUGGAACUGCGAGUGUAGAGGUGAAAUUCGUAGAUAUUCGCAAGAACACCAGUGGCGAAGGCGGCUCACUGGCCCGGUACUGACGCUGAGGUGCGAAAGCGUGGGGAGCAAACAGG